rnacentral:rRNA from 1 species
GACGAACGCUGGCGGCGCGCCUAACACAUGCAAGUCGAACGAGCGAGAGAGAGCUUGCUUUCUCGAGCGAGUGGCGAACGGGUGAGUAACGCGUGAGGAACCUGCCUCAAAGAGGGGGACAACAGUUGGAAACGACUGCUAAUACCGCAUAAGCCCACAGCUCGGCAUCGAGCAGAGGGAAAAGGAGUGAUCCGCUUUGAGAUGGCCUCGCGUCUGAUUAGCUAGUUGGCGGGGUAACGGCCCACCAAGGCGACGAUCAGUAGCCGGACUGAGAGGUUGACCGGCCACAUUGGGACUGAGACACGGCCCAG